rnacentral:lncRNA from 1 species
AGUAAAUCAAGGAGUCAGGGAUUCGAAGUUACUGGUUCAUGAAUAAACAAAUAAACCAAGUCAAAAAUAGGAUAAUCAAAAGGCUAAGGCAAGCUUUCAAAUUAACCAAAGAAACAGGGAAAUCAGUAAACAAGGAAACAAUCAAUCAAACUUACACGAGGAAGUCUAAAAUCAAUACACAAUUAAUGUUUAUUUUGAGAGGGAAAUUUAGCCUAUAAAAUGUGCACAAAUAUUAAGCAUGCGAGGCUGAAUCUAUGAAAAAGAAAAUUGUCAUGCAAUCACAAAAUCAUUAAAUAGUGGACUAUAGAAAAAUGGUAUACACCUCAGUAACAGAGAAGAUGGAGUAUCAAAUAGCAUGCAAAAGGGGUCAAGUAAAAGAUCUUAUAGAGUUUAGCAGGAAGUCUGGAUCAUAUAAAGAAACAAAAGUUGAAACAAAGAUUUCGAAACUCAAUAGAGCAAUAGAUGAAACAAGUUCAGAAACUCGAAUAGGUCCAAAGAAAUUAGGUUUUUGAAACCAAACAAGUUCAGAGAUUAAGAACAAGAAAAUCACAUAGAAAAUAGCCUCAAAACUCGAAUGAACCACUAAAUCUUAGGGUUUUUACCAUCAAUUGAGUAGAGAUGCAGGCAAAAAUAUCAACAAAGAAAAUAAAAUCAGAAACCUUAAGAAAGAACUAAGACUUAACAUGCACACUCCAGUAGAAGAACAACAUAAAGAAAUACAGUAGAACAUGCUAAAUAUCAGAGAAACUUCUAAUAACUUAACAAAACCCUAAAUCGGAAAAGAUAAAUGUUCUGAAGGUAAAGUUUUUAAAGAAACUUUGAGAAAACAUUUAAAAGCUUAGAGAAAACACAAAUCUACAAUGGAUCUAAAAGAAUCAGAAGAACCUCGAAGGUUAAGGUUUCAGAAGAACCCAAAUGGUGAAAAAGGCUUGAAAAGUCAUUAAUCUAAGCAGGAGAAGUCAAGAUCAGGCUUGAAUGGCCAUGGCUGGCCGGGGCAAGGUUGAAGAUGACCGGAGACAGCAUAUCACUGAAAUAGACCAAGGUUUGGGCCAAACUUCCUCAAGGUCUGGUCUUAAAAACAUGAUAAUCAGGGAGGUAGGAGGCAUAUGAGGCAGGUACAUGCUUUUGAUGGCUUCUGAAGCCAUGGAUUUGGUCGAUUUGGGUGGUGGUUGAAAAUGGCGGCUAGGGUUUGAGAAGAAUUGGGAGAGAAGGGGGCUUCGAAGGCGGAUGCAAAUAAGAA